rnacentral:rRNA from 1 species
UAAUGGCCCACCAAGGYUAMGAUGGUUAGYUGKUCUGAGAGGAUGAUCAGCCACACUGGAACUGAGACACGGUCCAGACUCCUACGGGAGGCAGCAGUGGGGAAUUUUGYGCAAUGGGGGAAACCCUGAYGCAGCAACKCCGCGUGAGUGAUGAAGGCUUUCGGGUCGUAAAGCUCUGUCAGAGGGGAAGAAAUGAGUCUGGCUAAUAUCCAGAUUUCUUGACGGUACCCUCAAAGGAAGCACCGGCUAAYUCCKUGCCAGCAGCCGCGGUAAUACAAGGGYGMMUUS